GGGUUUUAAGGAUCAAAGGACCAAAGGAUCAAAGUGGUGGUAAGAUUCUACAUGUGCGUGACGUCAUGAUUCUGUAAGGCAAUGAGGUUGUCACAUGACAUUUUUGGAGGAGGGCAUUUUUCAACUUGGACAAAUUAUCAGUAAAGUUUCAAUCUCUGUUAUUUUCCCCCAAAAACGUGUUGUCGCAAUAAUGUUUUCUACGGUCAUUGGUGCCAACAGAUGGCGGCAGUUUAAAGUUGGGUGUUACUCUGCUCAGGCUGCUACCAUAGAAGAAGAAUGUAGACCAAUAGUACUUUAACGAUUUCCGCUGAUCGUUUCCGUGUAAAUCUUAGCAUUGCGUUACCCGUUAGGCUGAAAGUUUAGUUUCAUACUGCCAUAUUUUCGGAGUAACAAAAUAUUUAAACGGUCUCAGAUCAUGGCAGUCAAAACAAGGUUUGCACAUGUCCUAGGAAGUGAAGAUGCUUUGCUGGCUGCUGUGACACUACCAAAAUUCAAGCUUUGUUGGUUACAUGACCAGGCACGGAAGGACCUCACAAAGGCACGUCUGCUGGUAGAGUGUCGAAAACUUCUCCCCGAGCAAGAUCAGCUACAACCAGGUACCAGCGCCACCAAGACAACACAGCACCCGAGUUCUAGCAAAGAGGAUGAGUUCUUCUCCUUUGAAUAGAAUGAGGACAUAUAUGCCACUGCUGAAGCUGAGGUAGCCAAGUACCUCAAAUCAGGAGCAACAGGGUUAGACUCUGAAGCAUUUCCUGAUGAUAAAGAAACUCUCUCUUAAACUUGAUGCAGCCACUCCUUCAAGUGCCCCAGUUGAAAGGCUUUUCAGCCUGGGAAACCUGAUUCUCAUUCCAAAGAUGAACAAGUUGUCCGAUCAUAAGUUUGAGAAGCUUCUCCUGUUGAGGUACAAUUGUUGGUUUGAGGGAACCAAAGUUGAGUAGUGCUGAUAUGAUGAUGAUGUGUUUCCUUCAGUGGUGCUCUACAAGGUCAAACAGGUUAAUAUUUCCAAGUGAAACUUAGACCACUGAAGCACUUAAAAUACCAUUAUAUUUUAUUUAUCUACAUGACCUGUAUGGAGGAAAUAUUAUUUUCGUUAAAUAUUGACUAUUUAUGAGGCUGAAAAUACUUUUAAGUUUGCCCGUCAUUACUGAACAGUUUACAAAGUUAAGUUCAGUUAAGUUUACAAAGAAUGGACAAACCUCACUGUGUUUAUGAUGAACGAUUUUUGCUCUAUAUUUUUUGCACUAUUUUGAUACCUACAGCUCCUAAAUGUUCUGAGGCACAGUUCAAUGUUGGCACUGCUAAAAGUAUACUUUCUACCCAUUUCAAUGGCAAAAAUAAAUAUAUCUUUCAAAAGUUUCAACACACUGUAUGUCGUGUUUUGUGAUCCACUGCUUCUUCCUAGUGAUACUGCGUGCACUGAUUAGAUUUAUAACACUGCUGCACCAACCCCAAAAUGAUGUGUUUGCAUUUGUAGAGAGUUGAAACAAUAGAAAUAGAUUAAAACAGAAAGAUAAAAAAGUGACACAUAAAACAAACACUGUGAAUUUCUAAUUUAGUUUCAUUCAUUUCAUCAUUAACUCACGCUACUACACUGCCAUUUGAACCUUUUUCGUUUCAGGCCAUUAGGUGGCACAGUGCACUUGUGGCAGGUUAGUGCUAACAUGUAAGCAAGCUAGAAGACUGGCAUCCUUGCUGUGUAUCCAGUUAGGGAAGCAACACAUUAAUAAUAGAAUUCUGGGUAAAACCAAAGUUACUUUCCCUAGUAACUAGCUACUUUGAAAGUAAUGAGUAACUUGAAGUAACUGAGUUACUUUUGAUAGAAGUAACUAGUAAUGUAACUAAGUUACUAAUUUAAAGUAACUUACCCAACACUGGUUAUGAGGGCGGUUCUUCAAGAGCCAUAUAUUUACUAGUUUGAGAACCACUGCUAUAGACUAUAGUGUACGCUGUAGACCCUACUUACUGGUUUUUGAUGCGUCAGUCUGCAUCUUUCAGUUGUGUGUUUCCUCUACAGCUCCGCACCACCCAGGUGGCAAAAAUUUGCUAGCUUCUUCCCGGCUCGUAACCAGCGUACUCUGCCAUCAAGGGUGAGCAUUGUUUAAUGGUUAUCAUGUGACUGAUGCAAGCCAGAUCCUUUUAUUUAGCGAAAUUGUGAUUAACAGUUAAAUGUUAUUGUUGAGGGACACAGACAGGACUC
rnacentral:lncRNA from 1 species